AACUGUGGGAUCCCGAGAGUAAAGGUUUUCACUUAUGCAGCGACCACUUCAUAUCAGGUACUUAAACCAACGUUUCCUCAACUGUGUGUGGUGUUUAUUUUAAAUGCUUUUAUUACGAUUCUUAGUGGGCUUCCUAAACUUAUUUUGGCGUGGCUUUUUCUGUCUUAUUACUCAUAGCAACAAGUAAACAUCACGUAAAACGUUGCCUCGUGAUUUCUGCGUGCUGCUGUUUACGUGUUUUAUGAUCACAGCAGUUAACCGGCUAAGCUGUAUUUCAUUUUUAAGCAAUGGUUGAUCAGUUGUCAGAUCACACAUAAAAAGCACUUUGGAUUGCUAUUAUCUGUCUCACCGAGACAGAUCCUGAGAUGCUCCUGCCUGACAUAUUUAUUUUAUUCACGGAAAACAAUCAAACUAGUGAUUUCUCUUGGCGUUCAGUUUAUACAUUCAAACAGCACAGCGCUCUAUUUAAACUACUUACAUGUAAAUCUGUCAUUUGUCCAUCCAUUUUCAUCCGCUUAUCCGGAGACGGGUUACGGGGGCAGUAGCGUCGAGAGGCCCAGACUUCCCUCUCCCCAGCCGCCUGAGCCAGCUCCUCCGGGGGAAUCCCAAGGGGUUCCCCGGCCAGGACCGGUAAGAAGUCCGCUCCGACAGCUUCUGGCGUUUUUAAAAAGUAUCCCAGGGGCACGGUAAGGGUCGGAGAUGUUUAGUCUGUUUAAUUUCUGACUAUAUAAAACGAUUUCUUCGGUUUUAAAGUGUGAAGUAAACUCAGACGAAGAAAAAUCCAAGCCGAUCCCCGUUCACGUUCAUGGUUAAGAUCCGUGUAUUUUUAGCUUCUUUUACCUGCCAAUAUGGCAUCUACUAACUAGGAGUCACGUGGGGUCCGGAGCUCUAUUGUGUUAAAAAAUGAAAAGGCUGGCGACAUUCAAAUCCCUGACUCAACGCCAUGACAGCCCCACCUAGUGGGCAACUUUUGUUUCUGUGCAUUCCUGUAGUUAUCGUCCAUUUAUCGUAAACAAGGUGAGAUCCCAAAUAAAUUGUGAUAUUGAUUUUAGGCCAUAUCGCCCAGCCCUAAGUUCAGCCAACUAACAGUACACUGUGGCAAGCUCUGACAGAAUCAUGACUUAUUCUUUUGAGACGGACUCGUGAACACAUUUUUGUCACAGCUUCUAUGGAUGAAAAGCUUCCAAAUGCCUUUGAUGCAGCAGCUGAAUUUAUCUGAACGUUGAUGAUUUUCUCAGCCGUUCCCUCCAAAUUUCACACACACACACACACACACACACACACACACACACACACACACACACACACACACACACACACACACACACACACACACA